rnacentral:lncRNA from 1 species
GAUAAGUAGCAAUAAAGUGGCUAGCCCAAAGCACCACAAGUGCUUAACUCUGAACUACCACAGCCAUAUAUCAAACCCAUGGAUAGGCACAAUAAAGUGGCUAGCCCAGCGACCACAAUCCCAUAAAUAGUUAUAUAACUCAAUUACAAGCUUGUCAAAUAUUAUAAUUCAAAAUUUUAUUCUUUUGCAAAACUCGAUGCAAAGAAUUAUCAAAAUCCAUCCA